rnacentral:lncRNA from 1 species
CCAACGGCCCCUGAAGAAGUCGUUGGGAUCCGUUAAGUUCCAGCGGCACUUCGCUCAUUUUUCUCUAAGAUGGCAUGAAGCUGACUUAGUUGGAGAACGGGCUUAUGGGGAUCUCCCCUUUCAGGAAGAUGAGAACUGCUAUAAGGAUUCAGGAAAACCCCUGAGGCCCAGGAUGUGGAGAACUGAGCGCCCCGUCCCUCACCGCCGAUUCCAUUCUUCCAUCCCAAGGAGGAGAGCCACUCGAAUGUCCUGAAAGACACUGGGACUCCGAGGACAGGAUGGGUCAGUCAAGCCAUAACAGAGCAUGGAGCCAGUUCCUUUGUCCACCC